rnacentral:rRNA from 1 species
AACGAACGUUGGCGGCGUGGAUUAGGCAUGCAAGUCGAAUGAAUGUCAGUUGUGUAGCAAUACAUGACUGGCGGAAAUGGCGAAAGGGGCGAGUAAUGCAUGGGUAACCGUACCUUGGGGAGUGGGGAGUAGCCGUUCUAACGGACGGGUAAGUACCCAGAGAUUCGGCGGGAGGGCGAUCCUCCUACCGGGAAAUGAAUUUCGCCUCGAGAGGGGCCCGAUGUGCUAUUAGCUAGUUGGUGGGUAACGGCCGUACCAACGGCUAAGAUGGCUAGCGGGUGUGAGAGCACGACCCGCGCCACUGGCACUGAGACACUGGCCAGACACCUACGGGUGCUGCAGUCGAGGAUCUUCGUCAAUGGGCGCGAAGCCUGAACGAGCGACGCCGCGUGCGCG